rnacentral:rRNA from 1 species
UGGCUCAGGAUGAACGCUAGCUACAGGCUUAACACAUGCAAGUCGAGGGGAAACGACAUCGAAAGCUUGCUUUUGAUGGGCGUCGACCGGCGCACGGGUGAGUAACGCGUAUCCAACCUGCCCACCACUUGGGGAUAACCUUGCGAAAGUAAGACUAAUACCCAAUGAUAUCUCUAGAAGACAUCUGAAAGAGAUUAAAAAUUUAUCGGUGAUGGAUGGGGAUGCGUCUGAUUAGCUUGUUGGCGGGGUAACGGCCCACCAAGGCGACGAUCAGUAGGGGUUCUGAGAGGAAGGUCCCCCACAUUGGAACUGAGACACGGUCCAAACUCCUACGGGAGGCAGCAGUGAGGAAUAUUGGUCAAUGGACGAGAGUCUGAACCAGCCAAGUAGCGUGCAGGAUGACGGCCCUAUGGGUUGUAAACUGCUUUUAUAAGGGAAUAAAGUGAGUCUCGUGAGACUUUUUGCAUGUACCUUAUGAAUAAGGACCGGCUAAUUCCGUGCCAGCAGCCGCGGUAAUACGGAAGGUCCGGGCGUUAUCCGGAUUUAUUGGGUUUAAAGGGAGCGUAGGCCGGAGAUUAAGCGUGUUGUGAAAUGUAGACGCUCAACGUCUGCACUGCAGCGCGAACUGGUUUCCUUGAGUACGCACAAAGUGGGCGGAAUUCGUGGUGUAGCGGUGAAAUGCUCAGAUAUCACGAAGAACUCCGAUUGCGAAGGCAGCUCACUGGAGCGCAACUGACGCUGAAGCUCGAAAGUGCGGGUAUCGAACAGGAUUAGAUACCCUGGUAGUCCGCACGGUAAACGAUGGAUGCCCGCUGUUGGUCUGAAUAGGUCAGCGGCCAAGCGAAAGCAUUAAGCAUCCCACCUGGGGAGUACGCCGGCAACGGUGAAACUCAAAGGAAUUGACGG